rnacentral:rRNA from 1 species
UACAGAGGUCUCAAGCGUUGUUCGGAUUCAUUGGGCGUAAAGGGUGUGUAGGUGGCGCGCUAAGUCGGGUGUGAAAUUUCGGAGCUUAACUCCGAAACUGCAUUCGAUACUGGCGUGCUUAAGGACUGGAAAGGAGACUGGAAUUCAUGGUGUAGCAGUGAAAUGCGUAGAGAUCAUGAGGAAGACCAGUGGCGAAGGCGGGUCUCUGGACAGUUCCUGACACUGAGACACGAAGGCCAGGGGAGCAAACGGG